AAAACAGCCACCGAGGAGGGCAUUGCAAAUCAAAGUGUGUGCUAGCAUGACAGCCAGCAAGCCUGGAUAUCGACUGCAACCCGCCAGCUGGGCGCCAAGGUUUGUUUCUACCACAGAAUCUGGCUUCUCCCUGUCCACCUGCUUUCACUUUGUCUUGAUAACCAGCGGCAGGAAAAGUGAUGUAAAGCACUGACCUCCAUCUAGAGUCAACUUUUUGGGUUUGUUCAGUCACAGAAUUGCCCUUACAGUACAAGGUCAAUAACAAUUACGACUGAAAUAAGAUUUUGAGUGAACAGCUGGGUCCUCCAUCUUCAUCAUGCCAUGCAGUGGCAGCAGGAUACAUUGAAGACUGCUGCUCAAAAUCCCCAAAAUGUUAAUUUGAAACCGUGGCUACUCUAUCCUGUGUGGCUAAUAGCAUUACACAGUGUAACCAUGAACCUGGCACAAGGCCUUAUCCACUGAUAUCUUUGUCUACAAAUGGUGUAUGUUUAUUUUUCUAAUAGAGAAUAAUGUCUACAGCUGCAUUAAUCAGUAUUUUUGUAUUAAACAUACAUCAAAUGAGAUGUCAUAACAACUUUGAAAAAUGACAAUUAAAAAAAGAAUUGUUUUCAGAUAGUUCCUCUGCCCCCAAAUUACAUUAAUAUAUUACCACAGCUUUAAUCUUACAAGAUCCUUUUAGGUAUUUUUAUUGUUCAAAAUAUUUGUUCUAUAAUAAAGUGAUGCAUUAUCUAAAUACAUACUGUAUGUAGAUGUUCCCAGCUCACUUCCUCUUGGGGCUCUUGUGAAACCCCACAUAUUCCAGCCAUGGUUCAUCAUUCUGCUCUUGCUAAAUACCCUCUGCCCUCUUCCAGGGACUCAGUCAGUACUGCCACUAAUGAUUGUCAACAACAAUUUAGGCUUCAGGUUAGAUUGAUUUUAUUGUAAACGACUGGUGCUAUCAGCUAUAGCAUUUUUUAAAAGCACAGGUAUCAAUUUGCUGUUACCUUUGCCAAAAAAAAGACCCUAACCUUAAGAAAUGUAAAUACAAGGUCUUAAUUAUUUAUACAAACAAGAUGUAUGUUUACAAACAUUUCACAUAAUAGGACAUAAUUUAUUCUGAAUCUUGAUUGUAAGACUGUAUCAGAAUAAAAUAUUUAAGUUUAAAGUUAGAAAACUAUAGAUAUUCAGGUAAAGCAAUCCCAAGAUUACAAAGAAAUGAUCAAAGGUCAUUCUAAACAACAGAAUAGGCUGUUUAAACUUAAUAACUGAGUUAUUUCAGUUUACAGAGAUAUAAACAAAUAAAAAUGUCAGCUCCGGUUUAGUCUAGAGAAUGUAUUUUAAGAAAUCACAGAUAAAGGGGGUGUCUUGUUGGAUUCCCAAUAGAGCAAGCUCCUCCUACCGCCCACUACAGCACUGAGAAAUGUCACUAGGUAAUAAUUGCCAUGGGGAUGGCAGAGCCUGGUGAAGCUGGGGGCGGUUUGACUGAGGUCCAUCGUUGAGGUGUGAGGCCUGUCACACACCAGCAUCUUCCAACUGAAACACAGCAUUAAACAGUGGCAGGAUGCAUUUGUUGAUCUAUCUAUCUAUCUAUCUAUCUAUCUAUCUAUCUAUCUAUCUAUCUAUCUAUCUGAUAAAGGUUAUACCACUGGCUUUGGCCUUUGAGGUUUAAAUGUUACUUUAAGGUCAAAGUGUUUGAACUGUAUCCUCCCACUCCCCCACCCCUUUCACAAUGGAAUAUCAAAGCAAAGCAGAUCACACAUUGAAUCCGAGAGUACAAUUAUAUAAAACAUUGAGAUGUGGAGUAAAAGAAGCUAUAAAGACUCAAAAUGAUGCCUAAAAUUUGGUUCAACUGAACUGUAUUUGUGACAGCAGCCUCAUACUGUCGGUGAAAUUAUGAGAGUGCAUUCAAAAUGUUUUACAAACAUAGAAACUCUUUAUUACAACGGUAUCUCUCACUCAACCUGUAGCCAUGUAUUUUUCUAAACACAUACAGUGGAAGUCAUUCUUUUUAUUUUAAUCACAGCAUAAAAACAAUCUCUAAACAAGUGAAAAUCCUAACACAAACGUUCAACAUCAUUCACAGUUUGGGAUUUUUAGACAUGAUGAAAAGAAGAUAUCAAGCUCAACAAGCUUUUGAUUUUGGAUUGGCAUUGUCACUCAAAACAAAAUGUCUUAAAAACCCUGUAUCCACAUUAUGUAAGAAAGAAUUUUUUCAAUCAAACAUGUCCACAUAUAGUUUAUCACACUUAUCCCUAACAGUUUGCUAUAAAAUACUACUCAUCUCAUCAUCAAACUGAAAAAAACUUAGCAAAGACUGCACCCUCAUUUCUAAUAAAAACCUCUUUGAGCGUAUCACACCUGUGUUAUUCUCCUUACAAUAUCAGAAUAGUGUGCAGGAGUCAUACUUGACAUUAAACUGCGCAGGACUGUAAAAUACUGUUGUUGUUUUUUCCUGCAUGUGAGGUAAAAACCCUGAUGAGCAGGGUAGUCAAAAAAAAAAGAAAAAUCUAAAGUUAUUCUCCUUCCAGGAUAAAAAUCUCCAAACGAAGAAGGCAGUUACUGCAUACGUGUCAAAAUACAUCCGCCUCCUUGUAAUGAAAUUCAUAACAAGUACUUAUACUCACGAAUAAAAGAAAAAUGGGCGUGUUGAGUGAAAUACACAACCCACAACUUAUACAGUUUUACUAAACAUAACAUACAGUUUACUACAUUUAACAAACAUAAGAAGUAGAAUCAUAUUUCAAUGCAAUGCAGUGCAUCGAGAGAAUACUGAUUUUUAAGAUCCAUAUUCAAAUAUACUGAUAAAUACAUCACAUGGCAGAAAGCAGGGUGACCCUUAAUCUGAGUUAUAAAGUCACAAGAGAUCAGGCUUGCUUUUAAAUUAAAACGAAAAACAAAAAAAUGUGUUUGGACAAGCACCAAAGAAAGGAGAACAAAAUUCAAAUGGUUACCUGUAAACAACUCGUAGCAAUUGCAUGAGAGUUAGGCCACAAUAUGCGCACCUCAUAAUCAAUUAUAAUCCGAUUGGCAUAAGGGGUAAGAGGGGCAUUAUCAUUGAUGAAAGCCUACCAUCCAAUAAAAAGCAACAGUAGUGCUUUUCCCCCAAUGAAUCCGCUAAAUAAUAGUAGUAAUUUAGUGUAUUUUAUUGCUGUCUGCUUUGAUGUGACUUUUCUUGCAGUAAUUUACAAAACUCUUUUCAAAAAUAAUCAAUUUACCAGUAUCUUAAAAAUGAUUGAUUUGGCAGUUACAAAUACAGUAUCAGUUGGUGUGGGGAACCAUUUAAUCAUCAUUUCUGAAUGCCAAAGGCAAUUUGUCUAAUAGCAGAGAUUUCACUGCACAAUAAUAGAGUUAAUUAAAAAAAAGAAAUUAAAAAUGAAUUGAGAGGGAGCCGGUGUAUUUCAGCAAGUGUUCCCUAAUUUAAGAUCAAAAGGGAUAUUCUGAAAACAUUUAACUAUUCAGUUACCUUUAUAGAAUCAAACAUAUAAUUAGUGUUAUUUUUUUAUAAAAAAAAUAAAAAGGCUUUAACAAGUUACAUCAAUAUUAAUUCACUGAGUCAUUAACUGUACAGAGCUGAGUGGUUGUGUGGAAUGUUUUAAAACCUAGCAGUAAUUUCCCUGUUCACAUUCAACAGUUUGAAAUGUAUCUCAAACAACUGCAUGUAAUUGUAUCAUCAUGACUGUUUAAGGAUGAAAUCUGAUGAGGCAAAGUGCAAUGAUUCAAAAAUACAAGUCAUUGAAAUGAACUGUUGGACAGCUUUCAGUAGAAAUAGAGAAACAAUGUUUUCAACAGAAUAAUUCCUGAAACAGUCUAUAUCUAAAUGAUGAAAAUUUGUCUUAUUUUCAGAAAAUAAAGACGUUAAAAACUUAA